CGAACGGGUGAGUAAUGCGUGACCAACCUGCCCCAUGCUCCAGAAUAGCUCUUGGAAACGGGUGGUAAUGCUGGAUGCUCCAACUUGACGCAUGUCUUGUUGGGAAAGUGUUUAGUGGCAUGGGAUGGGGUCGCGUCCUAUCAGCUUGUAGGCGGGGUAAUGGCCCACCUAGGCUUCGACGGGUAGCCGGCCUGAGAGGGCGGACGGCCACAUUGGGACUGAGAUACGGCCCAGACUCCUACGGGAGGCAGCAGC
rnacentral:rRNA from 1 species